rnacentral:rRNA from 1 species
CGACCGGCGCACGGGUGAGUAACACGUAUCCAACCUGCCGAUAACUCGGGGAUAGCCUUUCGAAAGAAAGAUUAAUAUCCGAUAGCAUAUCAAGAUCGCAUGAUCUUGAUAUUAAAGAAUUUCGGUUAUCGAUGGGGAUGCGUUCCAUUAGUUAGUUGGCGGGGUAACGGCCCACCAAGACAACGAUGGAUAGGGGUUCUGAGAGGAAGGUCCCCCACAUUGGAACUGAGACACGGUCCAAACUCCUACGGGAGGCAGCAG